GUGCUUGCUCCAGCAGCACACACACUAGAAUUGGAGUGAUACAGAGAAGCAUGCCCCCGCAAGGAUGACACACAAAUUCAUGAAGCAUUCCGUAUUUCC
ensembl:snRNA U6 U6 spliceosomal RNA